CCUACGGGUGGCUGCAGUCGAGAAUCUUCGGCAAUGGGCGAAAGCCUGACCGAGCGACGCCGCGUGAGGGAAGAAGGCCUUCGGGUUGUAAACCUCUUUCGUAGAGGAGGAAGGGGCCGUGCAGAGCGGUCUUUGACCUAUUCUAGGAAGAAGCUUGGGCUAAGUUCGUGCCAGCAGCCGCGGUAAGACGAACCAAGCGAACGUUAUUCGGAAUUACUGGGCUUAAAGCGCGUGUAGGCGGAUGACCACGUCAGUCGUUGAAAUCCCCCGGCUCA
rnacentral:rRNA from 1 species